GACGAACGCUGGCGGCGUGCUUAACACAUGCAAGUCGAACGGAAAGGCCCUGCUUUUGUGGGGUGCUCGAGUGGCGAACGGGUGAGUAACACGUGAGUAACCUGCCCUUGACUUUGGGAUAACUUCAGGAAACUGGGGCUAAUACCGGAUAGGAGCUCCUGCUGCAUGGUGGGGGUUGGAAAGUUUCGGCGGUUGGGGAUGGACUCGCGGCUUAUCAGCUUGUUGGUGGGGUAGUGGCUUACCAAGGCUUUGACGGGUAGCCGGCCUGAGAGGGUGACCGGCCACAUUGAGACUGAGAUACGGCCCAGACUCCUACGGGAGGCAGCAGUGGGGAAUAUUGCACAAUGGGCGGAAGCCUGAUGCAGCAACGCCGCGUGCGGGAUGAAGGCCUUCGGGUUGUAAACCGCUUUCGCCUGUGACGAAGCGUGAGUGACGGUAAUGGGUAAAGAAGCACCGGCUAACUACGUG
rnacentral:rRNA from 1 species